UACGUAGGGACCAAGCGUUGUUCGGAUUUACUGGGCGUAAAGGGCGCGUAGGCGGCAAUUCAAGUCAGUUGUGAAAUCUCCGAGCUUAACUCGGAACGGUCAACUGAUACUGCUUUGCUAGAGUACAGAAGGGGCAAUCGGAAUUCUUGGUGUAGCGGUGAAAUGCGCAGAUAUCAGGAGGAACACCGGUGGCGAAGGCGGUUCUCUGGGCAUGUCCUGACGCUGAGGAGCGAAAGCUAGGGGAGCAAACGGG
rnacentral:rRNA from 1 species